UGUUCUGUAGCUUAGUUGGUUAAAGCGCCGGACUAGCGAUAACGGAGUCGUGGGUUCGAAUCGCAGCAAAACAA
rnacentral:tRNA from 1 species